CCUACGGGAGGCAGCAGUAGGGAAUCUUCCACAAUGGGCGAAAGCCUGACGGCGCAACGCCGCGUGGGUGAAGAAGGUCUUCGGAUCGUACAACCCUGUUGUUAGAGAAGAAAGUGCGUGAGAGUAACUGUUCACGUUUCGACGGUAUCUAACCAGAAAGCCACGUCUAACUACGUGCCAGCAGCCGCGGGAAUACGUAGGUGGCAAGCGUUAACCGUAUUUAUUGGGCGUAAAGGGAACGAGGGCGGUCUUUUAAGUCUGAUUGGAAAGCCUUCGGGUUAACCGGAGUAGUGCAUUGGAAACUGGGAGACUUGAGUGCAGAAGAGGAGAGUGGAACUCCAUGUGUAGCGGUGAAAUGCGUAGAUAUAUGGAAGAACACCAGUGGCGAAAGCGGCUCUCUGGUCUGUAACUGACGCUGAGGUUCGAAAGCGUGGGUAGCAAACAGGAUUAGAUACCCUAGUAGUC
rnacentral:rRNA from 1 species